rnacentral:rRNA from 1 species
CCUACGGGUGGCAGCAGUGGGGAAUAUUGCACAAUGGGGGCAACCCUGAUGCAGCAACGCCGCGUGAGUGAAGAAGUCCUUCGGUAUGUAAAGCUCUAUCAGCAGGGAAGAAAAUGACGGUACCUGCGUAAGAAUCCCCGGCUAACUCCGUUCCAGCAGCCGCGGUAAUACGUAGGGGGCAAGCGUUAUCCGGAUUUACUGGGGGGAAAGGGAGCGGAGACGGCAGUGCAAGUCAGCAGUGAAGGACAGGGGCUCAACCCCCGGACUGCUCUGGAAACUGUAAGGCUGGAGUGUUGGAGAGGUCAGUGGAAUUCCUAGUGUAGCGGUGAAAUGCGUAGAUAUUAGGAGGAACACCAGUGGCGAAGGCGGCUUACUGGACUGUAACUGACGGUGAGGCUCGAAAGCGUGGGGAGCAAACAGGAUUAGAUACCCUGGUAGUC